UGGUGCCUGCGUAUGCAAAUUAACCUGCCAUCUAUGUUGGGUUAAUAUGCAUACUCACUCCUGCUU